GAUGAACGCUGACAGAAUGCUUAACACAUGCAAGUCUUUGGCGAAUCUGUGCUUGCACAGGCUAGCCAAGGCGGACGGGUGAGUAACGCGUAAAGAACUUGCCCUGCAGACAGGGAUAACAGACGGAAACGACUGAUAACACCUGAUACAGUUGCCGGCACGCAUGUGCCUGGCAAUGAAAAGAGAUGCUGCAGGAGAGCUUUGCGUCCUAUUAGCUUGUUGGUGAGGUGACGGCUCACCAAGGCGAUGAUAGGUAGCCGGCCUGAGAGGGUGAACGGCCACAAGGGGACUGAGAUACGGCCCUUACUCCUACGGGAGGCAGCAGUGGGGAAUAUUGGACAAUGGGGGCAACCCUGAUCCAGCAAUUCUGUGUGCACGAAGAAGGUUUUCGGAUUGUAAAGUGCUUUCAGCAGGGAAGAAGAAAGUGACGGUACCUUCAGAAGAAGCGACGGCUAAAUACGUG
rnacentral:rRNA from 1 species